rnacentral:rRNA from 1 species
AAAGGCUGCGGUAUUUUGACCGUACAAAGGUAGCAUAAUCAUUAGUUUUUUAAUUGAAAACUCGUAUGAAUGGUUUAACGAAAUAUUAGCUGUUUCAUAAAAAUUUAAGUAGAAAUUAAUUUUUUAGUUAAAAAGCUAAAAUAUAAUUAAAAGACGAGAAGACCCUAUAGAGUUUUAUACUAAAAAUUUUAUAAUUUAUUUAUAAAAAUUUAAAUUUUAUGAUUAUUUGUAUUUUGUUGGGGUGACAAUAAAAUUUUAAAACCUUUUAUUUUUUAUUAAACAAUAAUUUUUGUAAAAUUGAUCCACUUUUAGUGAUUAUAAGAUUAAAUUACCUUAGGGAUAACAGCG